AAAGCACAUCAGUUACUGGGAGAAUGGAUGGGCCAGAACAGCACUGUGCUGUCACCUUCCCUUCCUAGAACAGGAAAGGAAAACUUACAGCCUGGGAAGUUUAAGUUUUUACACCAGAUCCAUCCAGCUGAGAUUCCUUUUUUAAUGGUUUGCUCUGCGAGCAAGGAAGCAGUCUGGAAACAGCCCAGGCAGGACCAGUUUCACAUUUGGACAGCAGCAAAUCCCUUCCCCAGUGUCACAGAACCACAGAAUCAUGGAAUCUUCAGAGCUGGGAUGGACCCACAAGGACCAGGGAGCCCAGCUCCUGAUCCUGCACAAGACAACCCAAUGAUCCCACCCUGUGCCCAAGAGCUUGGUCCAAACACUCCUUGAUCUCUGUGCCAGAUAUUUUGCCUGUAGCUACAUGAAAGAUCCAUUGCUCUGCUAUUAUUACCAGCUUUGAGUACAAGUGUCCCACCUCCCAGAAUAUCCUUCCAAGUGUCACCUCUCUCAGGUCUGCCAAAGGGUUCUGGGCUCAGGAGCCUCCCUGAACUGUCUGCAGGUUCUUUCCCCACUCGCUGCAGCUGGAGGAAGGUGCACAGGGCCUCGAGCACUGGACAUCACAAAGGCCCCUGGGAGAGGGAGUGACUGGAUGCUCAUGUGGGGCUGAGAGGUUUCCAACAGAGAUCAGGUCUUACUCCAGAUGAAGACAGCACUGUUCCCCAUAAAUUGAAGUGGCCAGGAGGGUGGGAGUAACAUCGAAAGACAUCUGACAAAGCCAGGGAAGCCCUGGGCUGAAUGGAAGACACAUCCCUGUGUAACAAGGACCUGCACAUGAUCUCCCCAUUCACAAUUAAAAAAAAUACAAAUACUGUCAUGAAAAGCGUUCUGUUGUCCUCAGGGUCACGGCCAACACAGAGCAAGAGAAGGAAGCCAGGGCUGGGGAGGCCCUGGAGCCCAGCUGAUGGAUCCUGGGGCUGGUGGCAGCGGAGGAGAGGACACA